rnacentral:tRNA from 1 species
GGGGUGUAGCUCAGUGGUAGGGCACUUGCCUGGCAAUGCCAGAGCCCUGGGUUCAAUCUCCAGCACCACCA